AUACGGAGGGUGCGAGCGUUAAUCGGAAUUACUGGGCGUAAAGGGUGCGUAGGCGGCUUGAUAAGUCGGAUGUGAAAGCCCCGGGCUUAACCUGGGAAUUGCAUUCGAUACUGUCAGGCUAGAGUAUGUCAGAGGUUGGCGGAAUUCCUGGUGUAGCGGUGAAAUGCGUAGAUAUCAGGAGGAACACCAGUGGCGAAGGCGGCUAACUGGGGCAAUUCUGACGCUGAGGCACGAAAGCGUGGGGAGCAAACAGGAUUAGAAACCCUAGUAGUCC
rnacentral:rRNA from 1 species